UACAGAGGGUGCAAGCGUUAAUCGGAGUUAGUGGGCGUAAAGCGCGCGUAGGUGGUUUGUUAAGUUGGAUGUGAAAUCCCCGGGCUCAACCUGGGAACUGCAUCCAAAACUGGCAAGCUAGAGUAUGGUAGAGGGUGGUGGAAUUUCCUGUGUAGCGGUGAAAUGCGUAGAUAUAGGAAGGAACACCAGUGGCGAAGGCGACCACCUGGACUGAUACUGACACUGAGGUGCGAAAGCGUGGGGAGCAAACAGG
rnacentral:rRNA from 1 species